AAGAGGGAUUUGUGGUGAUUUGGGAGCCAAAGGAAGGAGCACUUCACCCAGUGUGGGGCAUGGUUUGGGAAGGUAUCCCCAGAGAAAGUGACUCUGUGGCUGAGCUUGAAGGAAGAUAAUUGGUAGGUGACAAAGAAGAGGUCCACCCCUAUGAUCUGAUUUGAAUCAAGGUCUCAAGCUAACCUAAGGAAAAAAAGUAAGAAAGCAGAGAAUCUAUAUGUCAGAAAGCAGAGAAUUGGAAGGGAAGUCACAAAAGGAGAAAACAUACUUGUAGGCGAUACUUGUAGGCAUUGUUUCAGGUAGUGAGUGAAGUCUGCAAACAAACAGAAGUUCUUUCUCUCAUGGAAUGUGUGUACUAAUUGGAGAAAGCAUUGUUUGAAAAAAUAAGCAAAUAGUGUUUCAGGCUGUGUUCAAGGCAAUGUAUUGAGUUCUUUACACAAUAGUGAUGCUGAUGGAUAAACAUUCCCAGUUUGAUCUCAAUCCAAUGAAACACCCCCUUUCAAAGUCCUACUCCCUCCCAACUGAUGUCCUAAAGCUCACAGAAAAGACUAGCUGGGUGUGUGAAUUCACCUUUCCUCAUAAUUCUGCAACCUGUUUAAGAAAGUUUUAGUUCUGAUUUUUAGCCUUAUCUUGCCUGUGAUUACAUGAAAUAAGAGAUUCUUUUAGGGCUACCCCAGAAACAAACUUGUUCUCUCAUCAGAGCUGAGUUGGUAGACAGUCUGAAGGCUAGAUCUUGUUAUUUUCCUCUGUUAUCUCUCCAGUGCUGUAAAAAGCAUCCAUCCCAGCAUCCUUGUAUUCAUCAUUAACAUUGUAGCUACAUGCAGCAGCCACUGGGUCAUCCAAAGCACUUGCCAGAGUGAGCACUUCCUCCACUGAGGCUGGAGGGUCUACGAUGGCUUCACUCACAUGUGUGGGGUCUUGGUGCAGGUGCUAACUGUUCCUCUCUUUCUUUAAGGUCUGUUUUCAAUAUUCUAGUAUAGGCUUUGUUAGGUAGUGGCAGAAACACUCCAAAAUAGCAAGGUAGAAGGCUCAGGAACUCACACAGUUUCACUUCUGCAUAUUCAGUUACCACCCAAACCAAGGGGCCUGGAAAUUGGCUCUACCUCUUGAGUUACAUGUCCUAAAAUAUCAUAGCCACUUUUUCAAUCUAUUAGAUGAAGCCUACAGUAUGAAUGUAUCUCAGAAAUGUGAUAGAUUUUAAAUUGAUCUUGCCUUUCUAAAGAUGGUUCCCAUCUAUACUCUGUGAGAGACACCUCUAAAAUGUCUCAUCUCAAAAGAGUAUUGGGUAAGAUGUCCAGUAACGUAGGUUUGUGGUCUGGCUCUGGAACUGAUUUAUAUUAUCUUGUAAUGAUAGCAAUGAUGAUGAUUUUGGUGAUGACAGUGAUGAUGAUUUUGUUAAGAUAUGAUUUAGACAAUGCAGUUCAUCAAUAAUUUCCUGUGUAUUGUUACAGAUAUUUAACUAAUUCUAAUUUUACCUUUUUUGGACUUUAUAUAUAUUAUCUGUUAAAUAUAAAGACCAUAUUUUACUUUUGUCCUAGAUAUUUGUCACUAUCUUGCACCCAUUUCUCCCUCCUAAUAGCACCCAGACUUUCCUCUAGAUGAAUUGCCUCUUGAAUGUGUGCUCUUGGUUGAAAGUAAACCCAGAAAUCUGCCCUCUUCUCGGGUGGCUUAAGGGUUCCCGAGACAUUUGUUUGCAAGAGCAUAGCCAAAAGCUGGGCUGAUUAUCUAAAUAUGGCCAGGAAGGCAUCUCUCACCUGGAACUUUAAGUCUUAACUAAGAUGAGUCAACACAGAAGAAAACAUUAUAGUUCCUGCAGCCCAGUGGUGGGAACCUGGUGAACUUGUCAAGUUCUGACUGAUGAGACUGUCAAGAACACCCUGAUAGCUCUUAGUUCUUAGCCUGGUUCACCACACUGUCUUCCCUAUGAUCCUCGCACCUGCACUCCAGCUCUCCAGUGGGUCCCUUCUUGCACAGGUAAGCCUGCAUUAUUGUUGGCAUCUCAGGAACCAUGACUGCUUCAGUUAUCUAUUGAAUUACCUUAGAAGUGCCUGGAGUGAUGGAAAGCACUUGGCCAAAGUUUACAAAGCACUGUAGCCAAGAACUGGUUCCAAAUUUCAGGUCUGCCUUUUCUGCUCACAUUUUAGCAUUUGACAAUCAAACUUUCUAAGCACCAGUGUCUUUCGUUGUAACAUGAGACACAAUAAUACAUCCCAAGCAGGGGGGUUAAGAUUAAAUUAGAGAGCAGCUGUGAAGCACCUGGGAGAGCUUCUGGCACACAGUAACAGUGGAAAGUUCUGGCACUACAGUAGAAAGUUCUUUCCCUUUUUGUUAAUGUUAAUGCAUCAUCCCCAUUCACAGAGACUGGAGUAUCCCUUGACUACUCCAGUCAAAGGGAAACCCAGGUUGACAUGUUCCCUCCCCCUAGGUCAUGUCCUCCUCUGACGUUAUGUGGUCAGCCUGUGAAGCUGUACCUUGGAGUUUGAAGAUGAGUCUGGUGUUUGUAAUCCACGAGAACCACUGAGGUCACAUGGUGUAGUGGAAUGAGCAUAGGAUUUGGGAUCAGGCAGGUCUGAACUCGUACCUAAUAAUGACAUAUGUGAUUAGUUGCUUAAUCUUGAACCUCAUUUAUUGUCCUAUGUGCUAUGAUUCUCUCAUACUGACCACACAGGGCCAUUAUGAAAUGAUAAUUGGAAAUUUACAUGCAGGUUCUUUGUAACCUAGAAGAAUAUUAUCUUUGUGCUGGAGCCUCCUCAAAGAUUUUCGGGGAUGUACUCACCAGAUCCUUUGUCUUGUACAGCUCCUAGUGGAUAAAUGAAGGCCGUCAAAUGGGCAGGAAAUAAUCCAAUUUCCAUGAAAGUUAAUUGAGCUCUGUGUUUUCUAAAGGCUAAUAGCCUGGUGAGAGAUGUCCUGAGUCAAGCUAAUGUGAUGACCCACUUGUUUUUUCAGGUACCAAUUACGGAACAGAAGCCACAUCUGUCACUGAUAACCUGUUUGUAUAGUGACCUCUUCCACCCCACCCACAAGGUUGCCAUGGCAAUUUUAGGUCAAGAAGAUCAUCCCAUUGAAAGACAGGAGAUGUUGAGGAGUAAAAUGCAGUCCCCAGGAAACCUGGUUUUAGUCCUUGCUACAUACUGUUAAAUGGCUGGGCCAGAGUCUGGUUGGGACUGCUGUGCCAGGCAUCAUCCCCAGGUGAUGUCUGAUCAUCCUGGCCUGUCUUUGGCAAGAAUCCAGUUCAGUGGGUUUUGCCGGAAUCAUUUUCCUUCUGAUGUUUUCUCUUAAUUGUUUUCCAUCCCCUGAUCCCUCUCCUGCUCCUUGGUUAUAUAUUUCCCCUUACUUGUGCUGUAUUCAAAACUGAACCCAGUUUUAUAUUGAGGCAUCUCUUCUCCUGUUUCAAUAAUCCAGAAUAGAGUCUGUUUUCACCGCUUUAACUACUGCCUAGCUCUGUUUUUUCUUUGACAGAGCUCAGAAGUGCAAUUCAAAUUUGAUUUGUAGAUGUAGCAGCAAUCAAGAUUUAGCUGGUAUUUGAAGACACUUAUAUUAUCACUCUUUUUACUACCUUUUAUUAUAUAUUUUGACUCUGCCCCACAUUAUUUUUGCUGAGGAAGCAGAGUUCCAGGAACUCUCAGGGAGUACUUGAGACAUGGCUCUUCAAUAGCCACCUGGCACCUUCUCCUAGAUAAGAGGUGUGGAAUUCUAGGAGCUCCUUCUUGCUUGAGAGCCCCUUGAGUAAUAAUUAUUUUUUAAAAAGCUGUUAUAAUAAAAUUUUGCAUUUAAAUUGCCUCUUAUUCUUAGCGUGUCAAAGUGCUUUACAAACAUGAAUUGCUAGAAACCUUUUAGGUUAAUUAAAAUGAGCAGGUUUCCGAGACAAAGAAGGUGACUGUUUUUGUACUUUCGGGUGUUUUUACAGGUGAGUGAAUUGAAGCACAAAUAACUUCUUUGACUAAUCAAAUAGAGAUGUUCUGAGAACAGGUGAUUUCAGCAUUAGCACACCAACCAUGCUGCCAAAUUUCAUUGCCCUUCAGAAAUAUAAUGACAAUAAUGUAGUGAUUCCUGAAUUCUGGUAUUCUAAUAUUUGUGCUACGAUUUACUGAAUGGCUGCAGUAAGCCAUGCAUUAUGCCUGGCACUUGGUUUGUGGUAGUGUGUUGCAUUCUCACAAUGCCACUGUAAAGUAGGUCUUAUCUUUGCUUUAUGCUCCUGUAAGGUAGGAUUUAUCAUCAUUUUACAGCCCUGGACACUCAGUGCGAAAGCAACUGAGCCACUUGUCAUAGGUCCUGCAGCUAGGAAAUGGCAGAGUGUAUUAGUCUGUAUUCACACUGCUAUAAAGAACUGCCUGAGAUGGGAUAAUUUAUAAAGAAAAUAAAUUUAAUUGACUCAUAGUUCAGCAUGGCUUGGGAGGCCUCAGGAAACUUACAAUCAUGACAUAAGGGGAAGGAGAAGCAAGGCACCAUCUUCACAAGGUGGCAGGAAGAAGUGCCAAGUGAAGGGGGAAGAACCCCUUAGAAAACCAUCAGUUCCCAUGAGAACUCACUCAUUACCACAAGAACAGCAUGAGAGUAAUUGCCCCCAUGAUUCAGUUACCUCCCACCAGGUCCCUUCCAUGACACAUGGGGAUUAGGGGGAUUCUAAUUCAAGAUGAGUUCUGGGUAGGGACACAAAGCCUAACUAUAUCACAGAGCUGGGGUUUUAACCCAUGUUUGUUUGACUGCUGUGUCUAUAUUCUUCUUCUCUACCAAUAUCAUUACCAAACGUUAUUACUUAGUUCUUCUCUAUUUCUAAACUCCUGAGGAAUAUAACAUAUUCCUGUCAUUAAGAGAAGCUGCUAACUUGAAAUGGGAGUUCAGUAAUGGCAGUGAGAGGAGAGGAAGUAACACUGUUGGAGGAGGUCAGAGCACAGGGGGCCUUAAAAACAAGCCAUGGCAUUUGGACUUUAUUCUCCUUAUUUAUGCCAUCCUGUUUAUCAAUAUUGAUCUGCAGCACUCCAAGGUCCAAGGGGCAAAGGCAAGGAAAUCUCCAGCCUCUGAGAAUAUGAGAAGACACUAUAGUAAAUAUGUCAACAAAUUUUAUUCUCACAACA